rnacentral:rRNA from 1 species
UACGUAGGGGGCUAGCGUUGUCCGGAAUCAUUGGGCGUAAAGAGCGUGUAGGCGGCCCGGUAAGUCCGCUGUGAAAGUCGGGGGGCUCAACCCUCGAAUGCCGGUGGAUACUGUCGGGCUAGAGUGCGGAAGAGGCGAGUGGAAUUCCUGGUGUAGCGGUGAAAUGCGCAGAGUAUCAGGAGGAACACCGAUUGCGAAGGCAGCUCGCUGGGACGUAACGACGCUGAGACGCGAAAGCGUGGGGAGCAAACAGG